AAAAAAAGGAAAAAAAAUCUCAUUAUUAGUGCCAGGAAGAAAUCCUCUUUGCUCUGGGCUGCGUGUUGUGGGUGUUGGAGCAGUGGGGAGGUGGGGGUUGAAUAGAGCGUAGAGCUCUGUGUGUGUGUGUGUGUGUGUGUGUGUGUGGAAGGAGAAGAGAAUGGAAAUGCAGAGAGAGGACUGCGAGAGAGAUACUGGAGUCAGUCAACCUGAUCGCCAACAAAUUUAGUAGGAAAGAAAUCGGAAGCAAAGCGACGGCCGAGCUAUAACUCCACCCCGAGGAUGAAUGGUGCGGAAAACAAAAAAAAACAUCCGGGACUACAGGCGAAAAACACUAUGUCGGAUGAGAACGAAAGAUGGGUUCAAGCUGGCAGGGAGGCUGUAGCGACUCUUUACAAGCGUGCUCGAGGAGAGGCACAGGCAUGUCUGCGAGAAAAGAAGUGGAGAAAACAGCUUCUUUUUUUUCCUGAAGGCUUGCUGGGCUGUCUUGACGGCGACGAAGCAAGUUAACGACAUGCAAAUGAAAUGCGAGCACGCCGUAUCUUCACUCCACGGCCUAAUGAGAAAUUCCCGGAUUUUUCCAGCACACAAAUGGAGGAAACCCCUCCCCACCACCACCACCACCACCACCAUUAACUACAAAAUGUCUGGAUGUCUGUAGGUGCCAUUUUUGAUUUGGAACCGUGCCACUGAUAAAAAUGUGUCUUGCCAGACCAGACCCAUAAAAAGAGACAUUUAAAUUCUCUCGAGGUUACGUAUUGGGCAUAAAUUAGCAACUCCAGUCCACAGUAAUCAGUUCCACAGGCUCGGCUGCAUUAGAAGAUUCAGUGAGGUCAUCGAGUGUGUAACGCGGCUGGCGAGUGCCGUGCAUCUUUGCAAAUGUGACCACAAUGAGUCAGGGCGAAGCAGCAGCGGAGAAAACGUGGAACCGGAGUCUGGAAC
ensembl:lncRNA